UCUGAUCUCUCUGAUCUGCUCCCUCGCAGGCUGUUUACUGAUGACGUCAUAUUCCGGCUCCCGUGGCAUCAGUAAACAGCCUGCGAGGAGGGAGCAGAUCAGAGAGAUCAGA